UACGUAGGUGGCAAGCGUUGUCCGGAUUUACUGGGCGUAAAGAGCGCGCAGGCGGUCGAUUUAGUCGCGUGUGAAAGCCCCCGGCUCAACUGGGGAGGGUCACGCGAUACUGAUCGACUCGAAGGCAGGAGAGGGUAGUGGAAUUCCCGGUGUAGUGGUGAAAUGCGUAGAUAUCGGGAGGAACACCGGUGGCGAAGGCGGCGACCUGGGUCGACACUGACGCUGAGGCGCGAAAGCGUGGGGAGCAAACAGG
rnacentral:rRNA from 1 species